rnacentral:rRNA from 1 species
GACAGCAGUAGCCACGGUAACACGUAGGGUGCAAGCUUUAAUCGGAAUUACUGGGCGUAAAGCGUGCGCAGGCGGUUUUGUAAGACAGAGGUGAAAUCCCCGGGCUCAACCUGGGAACUGCCUUUGUGACUGCAAGGCUAGAGUACGGCAGAGGGGGAUGGAAUUCCGCGUGUAGCAGUGAAAUGCGUAGAUAUGCGGAGGAACACCGAUGGCGAAGGCAAUCCCCUGGGCCUGUACUGACGCUCAUGCACGAAAGCGUGGGGAGCAAACAGGAUUAGAUACCCCUGUAGUCCCUGUCUCUUAUAC